rnacentral:ncRNA from 1 species
AGAAAGGCAUAGAUAAGAACAAGUAGCAGUCAAUGGAAUAUACAGAGAGUUGCUGGAUGGUGAGAAGCGCAUGGAAAGUUGAUUGUGAAUACCUCUUUGAGCUGCACACCGAACAGAAAUUAGUAGGCUGUGACGGUUGCGACCGUUAUAUCGCAAGGGUAUUGAGUAACAGAAAUUUGUUAUAUAAUGUACCCGAUAAGGCAGGCAAUGCGAGUUGUCUGUGAAUAAAGGUGGUACCACGAGCAUUCUCCCCUCGUCCUUUCU